ensembl:lncRNA
GUGUGAUCGAGGCGUUAGUCUUUUGUUGUUGUAUUUUCUUCGAGCCUGCAGCAGGGGUCAGAAUUGACCAAAUAGCCACACACUGUGGACCUAUUGAAUCCAUUAUUCUUUCACAGCCGCUCUAAAUUCUACGACUUAAUACUAGACUCGUCCUUCCUGUCAGAAACGUUAUUUAGGUUAAUCUACUACAUAAUUCUAUGAUGUAACUGUCCAUGCCACGAAAGGGAGUUAUGGAGGCAUAUAGGCCGUUCUAUACCAGGAGGUCUUUGCCAGAGUACCCCACCCCCCUGCCCCAAUACCCCUCUGAACUAGCCACCAGGCGAAAGUGAAGAGAGGUCUAAUACAUACACAUACGCAGCCUGGUGGUUGGCUAAAGGCCGACACAGUUUAAACGAGAUGGGUUUAUGGUGUUGCUGCAGUUGGAAGUUGUCACUGUUAAACUCUCAGAUGUGUUCUACAGUGCAAUGAGUUGGCCAAUGCGCAAUGUAAUGAGCUAGCCACUCCACCUCCCUUCUGGUGACGUCGACAGUUGGUGCGUGCUUCUCUAAUGACAGUUUGUCUUGUUUGUUCAAGCCUACCAGUGGUUUGUGUCGCAGCGCCUGCUUUUUCCAGUUUCUCAUCCUCCUGGUUUUUGACCCUUGCCUGUCCUGUCCUGACCCUGUACCUGACCACUCUGCCUGUCCCUGAGCCUGCCUGCUGUCCUGUACCAUGGCCUCUAUUCUGGAUUAUUGACCCCUGUCGUUUGCCUGCACCUGUUACAAUAAACAUUGUUAC